AUUUCUAAUGUGGAGGCCACGUGGUCUGGGUCUGUUCAUGACUCCAGGAUUUAUGGAGAGUCUAACCUGAGCAACAGACUGCAGCGUGGAGAGUUUGAUGGCCUUCUGCUGGGUGACAGGGGUUACCAUGACAACCCAGGCUGAUGACCUCAUACCCUGACCCUGAACCAGGCCCCCAACAGAACUUCAACCGGACUCACUGCAGGACCAGAGCCCGGGUGGAGAUGACCAUAGGCCUGCUGAAAGCCCGUUUCCAGAGCCUACGUCUCCUCAGGGUGACCCCUGAGAGGGCCUGUGAUAUUACUGUGGCAUGUGUUGUUCUUCAUAAUAUUACCACUAUUAGAGGAGAGCAACACCCUGCCCUACAAACUGAAGACCCAGAUGAUGAGCCCAUCCACCUGCAGCUAUCCAGGACAGCAGAGCAGUCAGAGACACCGUAUGCAAGAAUCACUUUAGAGUUUAAGUCACCAUCAUCACCACCACAGCAAAUAAAGACAUGAUACACAUUUCA